rnacentral:rRNA from 1 species
AACGGCCGCGGUAUCCUAACCGUGCGAAGGUAGCGUAAUCACUUGUUCUUUAAAUGAGGACUAGUAUGAAUGGCACCACGAGGGUUAAGCUGUCUCCUUUUUCUAAUCAGUGAAACUAAUCUCCCCGUGAAGAAGCGGGGAUUAUAUUAUAAGACGAGAAGACCCUAUGGAGCUUAAAACAAAUUAACACUUGCUUCUACCCAUUUUUACUCCUGAACUAACACAUAAAAUAUAGCAUCGUUGAUUAAUAGUUUUCGAUUGGGGUGAUCAUGGAGUAAAAACCAACCUCCACGACGAAAAGGAACACUUCCCUGAGCUAAAAGCUACAACUUUAAGCACUAAAAAAUUAACGCACUUUGACCCAAAUUUUUGAGCAACGAACCAAGUUACCCUAGGGAUAACAGCGCAAUCCAUUUCAAGAGCCCCUAUCGACAAAUGGGUUUACGACCUCGAUGUUGGAUCAGGGUAUCCCAGUGGUGCAGCCGCUACUAAAGGUUCGUUUGUUCAACGAUUAAAACCCUACGUGAUCUGAGUUCAGACCGGAGAAAUCCAGGUCAGUUUCUAUCUAUAAAGGGCUUUUUCUAGUACGAAAGGACCGAAAAAGCAUGGCCAAUGAUCAAUUAAGCCAUAUAAAUUACUCAUGUUUUCAACUCAAUUAGAAACAAACCUACCAUAAACCUCAAAAAAAGAGAAGUUAACGUAGCAAAACCUGGCCCUGCAA